rnacentral:rRNA from 1 species
UACGAAGGGGGCUAGCGUUGCUCGGAAUCACUGGGCGUAAAGGGUGCGUAGGCGGGUCUUUAAGUCAGGGGUGAAAUCCUGGAGCUCAACUCCAGAACUGCCUUUGAUACUGAAGAUCUUGAGUUCGGGAGAGGUGAGUGGAACUGCGAGUGUAGAGGUGAAAUUCGUAGAUAUUCGGAAGAACACCAGUGGCGAAGGCGGCCAACUGGUCCGGCACUGACGCUGAGGUGCGAAAGCGUGGGGAGCAAACAGG